rnacentral:rRNA from 1 species
GUCAACGGCCACAUCGCCCUGAACGUACCGGUUCUCGUCCGAUCACCGAAGUCAAGCAGGGCUGAGCGUGGUUAGUACUUGGAUGGGUGACCGCUUGGGAACACCACGUGCUGUUGGCA